AAAUUGAAGAGUUUGAUCAUGGCUCAGAUUGAACGCUGGCGGCAGGCUUAACACAUGCAAGUCGAACGGUAGCAGGAAGAAGCUUGCUUCUUUGCUGACGAGUGGCGGACGGGUGAGUAAUGCUUGGGGAUCUGGCUUAUGGAGGGGGAUAACUACGGGAAACUGUAGCUAAUACCGCGUAGUAUCGAGAGAUGAAAGACUGGGACCGCAAGGCCAGUUGCCAUAAGAUGAGCCCAAGUGGGAUUAGGUAGUUGGUGGGGUAAAGGCCUACCAAGCCGACGAUCUCUAGCUGGUCUGAGAGGAUGACCAGCCACACUGGAACUGAGACACGGUCCAGACUCCUACGGGAGGCAGCAGUGGGGAAUAUUGCACAAUGGGGGGAACCCUGAUGCAGCCAUGCCGCGUGAAUGAAGAAGGCCUUCGGGUUGUAAAGUUCUUUCGGUGAUGAGGAAGGGUGAUGUUUUAAUAGAGCAUUACAUUGACGUUAGUCACAGAAGAAGCACCGGCUAACUCCGUGCCAGCAGCCGCGGUAAUACGGAGGGUGCGAGCGUUAAUCGGAAUGACUGGGCGUAAAGGGCACGCAGGCGGUGACUUAAGUGAGAUGUGAAAGCCCCGAGCUUAACUUGGGAAUUGCAUUUCAUACUGGGUGGCUAGAGUAUUUUAGGGAGGGGUAGAAUUCCACGUGUAGCGGUGAAAUGCGUAGAGAUGUGGAGGAAUACCGAAGGCGAAGGCAGCCCCUUGGGAAAAUACUGACGCUCAU
rnacentral:rRNA from 1 species